rnacentral:rRNA from 1 species
AUGGCAGACGCUGUGCUCCUGCUCCCUCAUCAUCUUCUCCCUCAGCGAGCAUCUUCUUGUGCUGCUCCCACUAGGACAGGCUCCACCCCCUCCUCUGGUCUUGGCAUCCUGCCAUGCCGCAAGACAGCCUGCACACCAUCAUCUCCAUCGGAACGAGUCAAAAGCGGGAUAAGAUUGCGGCUUGCCCGUGAUCAUGCCGGGCAUAAUAACCUGGAAUUCUUUGGGAGGCCUGGCCUACACAGGAGGUGUUCACCUGCAACAAAGGGCGAAGUCGAGGUGCAGAGUCAAAAUGUUCGGUUUCGCUAG